rnacentral:rRNA from 1 species
GAUGAACGCUGGCGGCGUGCCUAAUACAUGCAAGUCGAGCGAUCAGAUGAGGAGCUUGCUCCUCUGACGUUAGCGGCGGACGGGUGAGUAACAAGUCGAUAACCUCCCUAUAAGACUGGGAUAACUUCGGGAAACCGGAGCUACUACAGGAUAAUAUUUUGAACCGCAUGGAUCAAUAGUGAACGACGGUUUUGCUGUCACUUAGAGAUGGAUCCGCGCCGCAUUAGCUAGUUGGUAAGGUAACGGCUUACCAAGGCAACGAUGGGUAGCCGACCUGAGAGGAGGGUCGGCCACCCCAGAACGGAAACGAGACCCAGACGCCUACGGGAGGCGGCAGUAGGGAAUCUUACGGAAUGGGCGGAGGCCUGACGGGGCAACGCCGCGUGGGGGGUGAGGGGCUUCGGAUCGUAGAACUCUGUUAUUUGGGAAGAAGAAAGAUGUAAGUGACUAUGCGCGUGUUGACGGUACCUAAUCAAAAAGCCACGGCUAACUACGUG